CCCUUUAGAAGUACUUGUUUGUGGAACAGACAUAAUGAGUGUGGAUCGUACCCAGCCUCUUCUCCUGCAGUAUCUGUAAGAGAGCAAACCAAAAAGAGCAGACUGUGGACCUGGCAAGAAAAGCCCUCUGAAACAGAUCUCUUGGUUGAGGAGUAAGUGUGAGAGCCAAGCGAUGCCACCCUGCUGGGAGCACUGGGAAAGAAAUUAAAACUGCUACCCCUGUCCUGGGUCAGAAGCUGCCCAGAAAUAGUGAUCCUGAACGUUCUCAGUGGAGUGACACAUCGGAAAGCAGGAAAGCACCCAAAAGAGACUACAGCGAAAGAAAGCAGCGUGGCCCACAGAUGACAAGGUUUUGGCGUUCUUAAAAAACCUGACAACAAGAAAAUGAUUCAAUUUUUAAAUAUCACUUCCUGAAUGACACUGUUCUUUGUGCAGUUACACCUUCAUCGAAAUUUUGAAUACUUUUCUCCCUGCCUUUGCAUUUUGUUUGUCUAUAUCUAGUCAUUAAAAGAAAAAAAACAAAAAAUAACCCUGACUAAGCACCGAUUUGAUGGCAAGAACAGUUCAUACUCUAGUUGGGAGGCUCUCCAAAAGAGGAAACAGGAACACAACAAUAUUGAAAGUGACUCACAGUCACUGUACACCAAAAUCACCUUUGUGAUGAAACUGAAGGAAACAAGAAGAGCUUCGUUUCCUGUAGUGUUGGGGGUGGAACCCAGGGUCCCAUGCAUGCUAGACAAGCACUCUGCUGCUGAACUACACCCCCAGUGCAGGUGUUUUUUUUUAAUAACAAAGAAUUAUAACUACAAUUAACAGUAAGAACAAAACAUUACUUUAAAAAGAUGUUUUGUUGUUUUUUUAAAGAUAAGAGUGUUGCUGGGCCAGGGAUAUAGCUCAGGGGUACAAGCGCCUGCCUGGCAAGCACAAGGUCAGGAAUUCAAUUCCUGGAACCCCCACCUCUCCCCUGCAAAAAAAAGUGUCACUAUGUAGUUUAGGUUGGUCUUGAACUAUGUAGCCCAAGCUGGCCUCGAACUCAUGGGGCCUCGAACUUCCUGCCUCAGCCUCUUGAAUGCUGGGAUUACAGGCAUGUGCCCCCAUACCCAGCUUCAAAAAAGACUUCUUAACCAAUAAAUAAGAAGUGGAAUUAUUUCAAGCCGAACAAUUUUGAGAAACAUAUUUGGAGGUAGCAUGUAUGUAUCUCUUUUCCAUUCCUCAGCUAGUACAAAAACAGUUUUUCAAAAUAAAAGCUAGAAAAAUCUGCAUUAAAAUCUACUUAAUGAUGACAGUUCUGAUAUACUGUUUUAUAAGAUUACACUAAAACAUCUAUUUCAUUUUUCCACGUUAGAAGAUUAUCUUCAUUUUCUGUUGUAUUUAAUUCUUUACUGUUAUCUAACAAUUACAGUGUAUUAGACUAUAAUAUGUUUAACUUUUGCAUUUUUAAAAUCUGUUUUUGGCAUUUCCUAAUAUAUUUAUAAACUUUAGUGCUUGAAAUGUAUUAGUCUCCUUGAUUUUUAAAAAAUAAAGCCUGAAUAUAUUUCAGUAAAACAGUAA